rnacentral:rRNA from 1 species
CCUACGGGCGGCUGCAGUGGGGAAUAUUGGGCAAUGGAGGCAACUCUGACCCAGCAACGCCGCGUGAAUGAUGAAGGUCUUCGGAUUGUAAAGCUCUGUGAUGGGGGAGGAACACAAUGACGGUACCCCAAUAGCAAGCGAAGGCUAACUACGUGCCAGCAUCCGCGGCAAUACGUAGGUGGCAAGCGUUCUCAGGAAUGACUGGGCUUAAAGGGUGCGUAGGUGGUUUCGUUAGUUGGCGGUGUAAUUCCGGGGCUCAACCUCGGCGCUACCGCCAAAACGAUUAGACUAGAGUGCAGGAGAGGUAAGUGGAAUUCCUAGUGUAGCGGUGGAAUGCUUAGAUAUUAG